GAUGAACGCUGGCGGCGUGCCUAAUACAUGCAAGUCGAGCGGACAGGCGCUGCGCUUGCUCCUCUGUCGUUUGCCGAGGGCGGGUGUGUCACGCGUGGAACACGUCCCUGUCAUACUGAUAACUCUUCGGGACACCGGCGAUAAUACCGGAUAAUAUCUUGCACCGCAUGGUUCAAUAGUGAAAUACGGUUUUGCGGUCAGUUCUCGCUGGAUCCGCGCCGCAUUAGCUAGUUGGUAAGGUCACGGCCUACCAAGGCAACGAUGCGUAGCCGAACUGAGAGGGUGAUCGGCCACACUGGAACGGAGACACGGUCCAGGGUCCUGAGGGAGGCAGCAGUAGGGAAUCGUACGCAACAGGCGAAAGCCUGACGGAGUGACGCGGCGUGAGUGAUGGAGGUCCUCGGAUCGGAAAACUCGGUUAUGAGGGAAGAACAAAUGUGGAAGGAACCAUGCACGGCGUGACGGUACCGAAUCAGAAAGCCACGGCUAACUACGUG
rnacentral:rRNA from 1 species